rnacentral:rRNA from 1 species
GUAAUUCCGGUGAAGAUGCCGGAUACCUGCGACAGGACGGAAAGACCCCAUGGAGCUUUACUGUAGCUUGACAUUGGGUCUUGGUACUACAUGUACAGGAUAGGUGGGAGGCUUUGAAACCAGGACGCCAGUUUUGGCGGAGCCAUCCUUGGGAUACCACCCUUGUAGUACUGGGACUCUAACCAUAGGCCAUGAAUCUGGUCUUGGGACACUGUCAGGUGGGCAGUUUGACUGGGGCGGUCGCCUCCCAAAAGGUAACGGAGGCGCUCAAAGGUUCUCUCAGUACGGUCGGAAAUCGUACGUAGAGUGUAAAGGCAAAAGAGAGCUUGAUUGCAAGACAUACAGGUCGAGCAAGGAUGAAAAUCGGACUUAGUGAUCCGGUGGUUCUGCGUGGAAGGGCCAUCGCUCAACGGAUAAAAGCUACCCUGGGGAUAACAGGCUUAUCUCCCCCAAGAGUCCACAUCGACGGGGAGGUUUGGCACCUCGAUGUCGGCUCAUCACAUCCUGGGGCUGUAGUAGGUCCCAAGGGUUGGGCUGUUCGCCCAUUAAAGUGGUACGCGAGCUGGGUUCAGAACGUCGUGAGACAGUUCGGUCCCUAUCCGUCGCAGGCGUAGGAAAUUUGAGAAGACCUGUCCUUAGUACGAGAGGACCGGGAUGGACGUACCUCUGGUGUACCAGUUGUCCUGCCAAGGGCAUGGCUGGGUAGCUAUGUACGGAAUGGAUAAGCGCUGAAAGCAUCUAAGCGCGAAG